rnacentral:rRNA from 1 species
UGGGGAAUAUUGCACAAUGGGCGCAAGCCUGAUGCAGCCAUGCCGCGUGUAUGAAGAAGGCCUUCGGGUUGUAAAGUACUUUCAGCGGGGAGGAAGGGAGUAAAGUUAAUACCUUUGCUCAUUGACGUUACCCGCAGAAGAAGCACCGGCUAACUCCGUGCCAGCAGCCGCGGUAAUACGGAGGGUGCAAGCGUUAAUCGGAAUUACUGGGCGUAAAGCGCACGCAGGCGGUUUGUUAAGUCAGAUGUGAAAUCCCCGGGCUCAACCUGGGAACUGCAUCUGAUACUGGCAAGCUUGAGUCUCGUAGAGGGGAGUAGAAUUCCAGGUGUAGCGGUGAAAUGCGUAGAGAUCUGGAGGAAUACCGGUGGCGAAGGCGGCCCCCUGGACGAAGACUGACGCUCAGGUGCGAAAGCGUGGGGAGCAAACAGG